rnacentral:rRNA from 1 species
CACUCCUGCGGGAGGCAGCAGUGGGGAAUAUUGGACAAUGGGCGCAAGCCUGAUCCAGCCAUGCCGCGUGAGUGAUGAAGGCCCUAGGGUUGUAAAGCUCUUUCACCGGUGAAGAUAAUGACGGUAACCGGAGAAGAAGCCCCGGCUAACUUCGUGCCAGCAGCCGCGGUAAUACGAAGGGGGCUAGCGUUGUUCGGAUUUACUGGGCGUAAAGCGCACGUAGGCGGACUAUCAAGUCAGGGGUGAAAUCCCGGGGCUCAACCCCGGAACUGCCUUUGAUACUGGUAGUCUUGAGUUCGAGAGAGGUGAGUGGAAUUCCGAGUGUAGAGGUGAAAUUCGUAGAUAUUCGGAGGAACACCAGUGGCGAAGGCGGCUCACUGGCUCGAUACUGACGCUGAGGUGCGAAAGCGUGGGGAGCAAACAGGAUUAGAUACCCCUGUAGUCCCAUGA